rnacentral:lncRNA from 1 species
GACUAUCUCCUAUAACUAAAAAGAUUAAAACAAGGACUUUUUUUUGCGACAUUUGGUUUCGUCCUUCUGCCGUGCCCCGUCGUGCGUCCGCUGCGGCUCCCCAGCGUCUAAACUUGGAAACCGGCAUCCCCUCCAUGAUCCCCUCCCCCAUUCCUAUCUUCACCGUGAGCACUGAGCAGAGACCCCGAUCCCCUUCCCCUUUCCACCGUGAGCAGAGAACCCCAUCCCCUCCGUGAUCCGCAUCACCGCAUCGCCUGGCUGGGACUCAGAGAAGCUGCGGCAGCGGCAGGCCCCCAUCCCCUCCGUGAUCCGCAUCGACUCGGAGAAGCUACGGCAGCAGCACAUCCCCUCCGUGAUCCGCAUCGACUCGGAGAAGCGGCACAUCCCCUCCAUGUUCCGCAUCACCGCCUCGCCUGGCUCCUUCCUCUUCGCCUGGCUGGGGCUGGACUCGGAGAAGCUGCGGUAGCAGCAGGCCCCCCAUCCCCUCCGUGUUCUGCAUCACCGCCUCGCCUGGCUCCUUCCUCCUCGCGUGGUUAGUCCCGGGAGGCCGCAGCGAAGCCGGAACCCGCUCGAUCUCCGUUGGCCGCGCCCCACGCCGCGAGCUCGGUGCCCUAAGCCAGUGGCCACGGCCCCGCCUGCCGGUGCCCGCGGCGCGCCCUGCCCACCGCGAGCUGCGGGAGGCCACAGCGAAGCCGGUGGCCGCGCCCCGCCUGCCGGUGCCCGCGGCGCGCCCCGCCGGCCGGUGCCGGUGGCCGCGGCCCGCCCGCCCGCUGCCAAAGUGGCCGCGCAGUUGGCCGCGCCCCGCCCACCGCGAGCUGUGGGAGGCCGCAGCUAGCUCGGUGGCCGCGCCCCGCCUGCCGGUGCCCGCGGCGCGCCCCACCCGCCGGUG